rnacentral:tRNA from 1 species
GGGGCGCUAGUAAAACCCUAUUAUAAUGCCUUGUCAAGGCAACGUUGCAAGUUGAAAUCCUGCGCACCCCG